rnacentral:rRNA from 1 species
GAAUUUAGCAGAGAUGCUUUAGUGCCUUCGGGAACUCUGAGACAGGUGCUGCAUGGCUGUCGUCAGCUCGUGUUGUGAAGUGUUGGGUUAAGUCCCGNAACGAGCGCAACCCUUAUCCUUUGUUGCCAGCACGUAAUGGUGGGAACUCAAAGGAGACUGCCGGUGAUAAACCGGAGGAAGGUGGGGAUGACGUCAAGUCAUCAUGGCCCUUACGAGUAGGGCUACACACGUGCUACAAUGGCGCAUACAAAGAGAAGCGACCUCGCGAGAGCAAGCGGACCUCAUAAAGUGCGUCGUAGUCCGGAUUGGAGUCUGCAACUCGACUCCAUGAAGUCGGAAUCGCUAGUAAUCGUAAAUCAGAAUGUUACGGUGAAUACGUUCCCGGGCCUUGUACACACCGCCCGUCACACCAUGGGAGUGGGUUGCAAAAGAAGUAGAUAGCUUAACCUUCGGGAGGGCGUUUACCACUUUGUGAUUCAUGACUGGGGUGAAGUCGUAACAAGGUAGGCGUAGUGCU